AAUUAAUGCAUCUAUUUUACCUAUAAUUUAAAAAGAAAAAAAAAUGUCUAGAAAGAGCAGAAACACUUUCCUUACCCAGGCUCUUAUUAUCAAUUUAAGUUGACUUAGAUCCAAAGGAGGAAAGGCUGGGAAGUGAAAGGGCGUUGACCCAGGGUGAAAGAGGGGUGGGAAGCUCAGGGAAGGGUUUCCGUCUUGGAAAAGACCAAAAUAAGAGCUUCCACGGAAGUAAAGAUUCAUGCAGGAAAGGCCUGGAAACCUGACCAUUAAGUGGAGGGCUCCCGUGGUCCUAAUCCCCCCCGAUGGUGACUGAUAACCCCCAUUGUGUCUGGGCCUAGUGCUUCCGGGCAGGAAGCCACAGCCUCUGUACCAGGGAUAAGGCAGGCUGGGAGCAGGCCUGGUGAGGGCAUCUCACUGCUACUUCCUUCUCUUAAGGAGGGUCGGGGUCACGCUCCCUUUCCCAGGACCUCAGAGGUCUGAGAGGUCACGGCUGGUGUGGGCUGCAGUGGAAUCCUGCCUCUUCCGUGUGAAGUUCCUCAAAAACUACCAAAAUCUUUUGGUCCUGACGUCCUCUGCACUUGCUGUUAUCUUUGCUUAAAAAGUAAGUAUGUCCUUUCUCACCCCAUGGGAAGCCGUGUCUCAUUCUUCAGACUUGGGUGUAAAUGAUGCCUUCUCAUAGA
rnacentral:lncRNA from 1 species